rnacentral:rRNA from 1 species
UACGUAGGGUGCGAGCGUUGUCCGGAAUUAUUGGGCGUAAAGAGCUCGUAGGCGGUGUGUCGCGUCGGCCGUGAAAACCUGGGGCUUAACUCUGGGCGUGCGGUCGAUACGGGCAUCACUAGAGUCCGGCAGGGGAGACUGGAAUUCCUGGUGUAGCGGUGAAAUGCGCAGAUAUCAGGAGGAACACCGGUGGCGAAGGCGGGUCUCUGGGCCGAUACUGACGCUGAGGAGCGAAAGCAUGGGUAGCGAGCAGG